GCGCUGCUAUACAUGCAAGUCGAACGAACUCUGGUAUUGAUUGGUGCUUGCAUCAUGAUUUACAUUUGAGUGAGUGGCGAACUGGUGAGUAACACGUGGGAAACCUGCCCAGAAGCGGGGGAUAACACCUGGAAACAGAUGCUAAUACCGCAUAACAACUUGGACCGCAUGGUCCGAGUUUGAAAGAUGGCUUCGGCUAUCACUUUUGGAUGGUCCCGCGGCGUAUUAGCUAGAUGGUGGGGUAACGGCUCACCAUGGCAAUGAUACGUAGCCGACCUGAGAGGGUAAUCGGCCACAUUGGGACUGAGACACGGCCCAAACUCCUACGGGAGGCAGCAGUAGGGAAUCUUCCACAAUGGACGAAAGUCUGAUGGAGCAACGCCGCGUGAGUGAAGAAGGGUUUCGGCUCGUAAAACUCUGUUGUUAAAGAAGAACAUAUCUGAGAGUAACUGUUCAGGUAUUGACGGUAUUUAACCAGAAAGCCACGGCUAACUACGUGCCAGCAGCCGCGGUAAUACGUAGGUGGCAAGCGUUGUCCGGAUUUAUUGGGCGUAAAGCGAGCGCAGGCGGUUUUUUAAGUCUGAUGUGAAAGCCUUCGGCUCAACCGAAGAAGUGCAUCGGAAACUGGGAAACUUGAGUGCAGAAGAGGACAGUGGAACUCCAUGUGUAGCGGUGAAAUGCGUAGAUAUAUGGAAGAACACCAGUGGCGAAGGCGGCUGUCUGGUCUGUAACUGACGCUGAGGCUCGAAAGUAUGGGUAGCAAACAGGAUUAGAUACCCUGGUAGUCCAUACCGUAAACGAUGAAUGCUAAGUGUUGGAGGGUUUCCGCCCUUCAGUGCUGCAGCUAACGCAUUAAGCAUUCCGCCUGGGGAGUACGGCCGCAAGGCUGAAACUCAAAGGAAUUGACGGGGGCCCGCACAAGCGGUGGAGCAUGUGGUUUAAUUCGAAGCUACGCGAAGAACCUUACCAGGUCUUGACAUACUAUGCAAAUCUAAGAGAUUAGACGUUCCCUUCGGGGACAUGGAUACAGGUGGUGCAUGGUUGUCGUCAGCUCGUGUCGUGAGAUGUUGGGUUAAGUCCCGCAACGAGCGCAACCCUUAUUAUCAGUUGCCAGCAUUAAGUUGGGCACUCUGGUGAGACUGCCGGUGACAAACCGGAGGAAGGUGGGGAUGACGUCAAAUCAUCAUGCCCCUUAUGACCUGGGCUACACACGUGCUACAAUGGAUGGUACAACGAGUUGCGAACUCGCGAGAGUAAGCUAAUCUCUUAAAGCCAUUCUCAGUUCGGAUUGUAGGCUGCAACUCGCCUACAUGAAGUCUGGAAUCGCUAGUAAUCCGCGGAUUCAGCAGCCU
rnacentral:rRNA from 1 species